AAACAGUUUUACCCUUUACUGUACUUUUAUUUUACGCUAAGUUAUAGCGGCAACUGAAGCGAAAUUCUCGCACAUUUAAAGAAAAUAGUUUGCUUCUGUGUUGCAAAAUAAAGUGGAUAGCCUACAAAUAACAAAUAAUAAGCUCAAAGAAUCCAAUGAAUCGAGUUUCUAUUAAUAUAUUAAGAAAUUCAACCUUAAUCGAAAGUCUUCGAUUAAAAGGUUUUUAAAAAAGUGACAGACAUAGUCACGUGUGUCCUGAAAUCACCUCAUAGACAGCGUUGAAAACAGUCACGAAGAAAACAUAAAUAAAAACAUUUAAAAUAAUGUCCUAAUGAAACUCUAAAAGGGUUUUAGAAGCCUAAGAGUAGCGAAUGGCUUGUUUGUGUGCUUUCUCUGUCUCGGUUCUCUGUUUGGUGUUAAAUACGCGUGGUGUUUGAGGAUGUGUUCGCCCAUCUUUGGGUUCAUUUAGCGGGACGCCGCAAAGAGCUGCAGUUCAAUGCACGUACGGCAGGUGGCGGCGUUGACCAGCUGUAAACACCGAAGUGCAUCGCGGUCACCAGCCUUUUAACGCCUAAAAGUUUUUUGUAUUAAAACAAUUGUAAGAUGUUGUUGGAUCGGUGUCUUAAAUAAACAAUAAAGAUAAAUAAAGAUGUUCCGUGCAUACUUUCACACAACGAUGCAUGCAGCUGGUUUGGCUGGCAUCUUCAGUGUCUGUUGCGUGCAUCACAGUGAUCUAGGACUGUGUGCGUGCGUGUGUGUGUGUGUGUUAGAGUGUGAUCUGCUCUGUUGUCUGCAGUAUGCAUGCAUGCAUCAGUGAGUUUCAGGCUCUUUGUUGGCUGGAUGGAGGCGGGGCGCUGCGGGGCCGCAGGUCCUUUUGUGCCCCUCACAUUUUGGGCAAAAGCAGAAGCACCGCUCUGCAGACGCGCCAGUAGCAUGAAACCGGACUUUACCAAAAUAAAAACUUAACAAACAGCGAUAUCCGAUACAGCGAGGUGAUUUUAACACAGCGUUUGGGGAACUUUGUGUAAAUUUUGUUCUGAGGAGAACUCUGAAGUGUUUAAGAGAGAGUGUUUGUAGUCUUGGGGUCUGGCAGGUGUGGGAUGUUGUGCACUGUUGUUCAAUCUCCCGCCAAUAUUGCACUCGUCCCGGCCUCCCUGACCACGAGGAACACGCGACUCCCGCAGUAAUCUCCCGCCACAACAGCCGCUUGUGAAGAGCUCAACCACUAGGGCGGCGCCAGACUGCAGGUUCUCCUCAUCCAGAGUGACACAUACGCUGGGUAAAUCUCUCAUCUUUCCUGGUUGUUUGGCCCCUCACACACAGGAGUUCAGUGGCCCCACGCUGGGUUUCAGAGGGUCUAGAGAGAGAGACGGAGGGCGUCUCACUCC